rnacentral:rRNA from 1 species
UGGUGGAUAGUGGCGACGGGUGAGUAACACGUGGGCAAUCUGCCCUUCACUCUGGGACAAGCCCUGGAAACGGGGUCUAAUACCGGAUAACACUCUGUCCCGCAUGGGACGGGGUUGAAAGCUCCGGCGGUGAAGGAUGAGCCCGCGGCCUAUCAGCUUGUUGGUGGGGUAAUGGCCUACCAAGGCGACGACGGGUAGCCGGCCUGAGAGGGCGACCGGCCACACUGGGACUGAGACACGGCCCAGACUCCUACGGGAGGCAGCAGUGGGGAAUAUUGCACAAUGGGCGAAAGCCUGAUGCAGCGACGCCGCGUGAGGGAUGACGGCCUUCGGGUUGUAAACCUCUUUCAGCAGGGAAGAAGCGAAAGUGACGGUACCUGCAGAAGAAGCGCCGGCUAACUACGUGCCAGCAGCCGCGGUAAUACGUAGGGCGCAAGCGUUGUCCGGAAUUAUUGGGCGUAAAGAGCUCGUAGGCGGCUUGUCACGUCGGAUGUGAAAGCCCGGGGCUUAACCCCGGGUCUGCAUUCGAUACGGGCUAGCUAGAGUGUGGUAGGGGAGAUCGGAAUUCCUGGUGUAGCGGUGAAAUGCGCAGAUAUCAGGAGGAACACCGGUGGCGAAGGCGGAUCUCUGGGCCAUUACUGACGCUGAGGAGCGAAAGCGUGGGGAGCGAACAGGAUUAGAUACCCUGGUAGUCCACGCCGUAAACGUUGGGAACUAGGUGUUGGCGACAUUCCACGUCGUCGGUGCCGCAGCUAACGCAUUAAGUUCCCCGCCUGGGGAGUACGGCCGCAGGCUAAAACUCAAAGGAAUGACGGGGCCGCACAGCAGCGGAGCAUGUGGCUUAAUUCGA